rnacentral:rRNA from 1 species
AGGAUGAACGCUAGCGGGAGGCUUAACACAUGCAAGGUCGAGGGGUAAAUGGUAGCAAUACUAUGAGACCGGCGGACGGGUGCGUAACGCGUAUGCAACAUACCUUGUGCAGGGGGAUAGCCCGUGGAAACGCGGAUUAAUAUUCCAUAGUCCAGCUAUAUCGCAUGGUAUAGUUGGUAAAGAUUUAUCGGCACAAGUUUGGCAUGCGUCUGAUUAGCUUGUUGGUAGGGUAACGGCCUACCAAGGCUACGAUCAGUAGGGGUUCUGAGAGGAUUAACCCCCACACUGGUACUGAGACACGGACCAGACUCCUACGGGAGGCAGCAGUGAGGAAUAUUGGUCAAUGGGCGGAAGCCUGAACCAGCCAUCCCGCGUGAAGGAAGACAGCCUUACGGGUUGUAAACUUCUUUUCUGUCAGAAGAAUAAGCUUGUCGAGACGAGUGAUGCCGGUAUGACAGGAAUAAGCAUCGGCUAACUCCGUG